CGCGGCCUAUCAGCUUGUUGGUGGGGUGAUGGCCUACCAAGGCGACGACGGGUAGCCGGCGUGAGAGGGUGUCCGGCCACACUGGGACUGAGAUACGGCCCAGACUCCUACGGGAGGCAGCAGUGGGGAAUAUUGCACAAUGGGCGCAAGCCUGAUGCAGCGACGCCGCGUGAGGGAUGACGGCCUUCGGGUUGUAAACCUCUUUCAGUACCGACGAAGCGCAAGUGACGGUAGGUACAGAAGAAGCACCGGCCAACUACGUGCCAGCAGCCGCGGUAAUACGUAGGGUGCGAGCGUUGUCCGGAAUUACUGGGCGUAAAGAGCUCGUAGGUGGUUUGUCGCGUUGUUCGUGAAAACUCACAGCUCAACUGUGGGCGUGCGGGCGAUACGGGCAGACUGGAGUACUGCAGGGGAGACUGGAAUUCCUGGUGUAGCGGUGGAAUGCGCAGAUAUCAGGAGGAACACCGGUGGCGAAGGCGGGUCUCUGGGCAGUAACUGACGCUGAGGAGCGAAAGCGUGGGGAGCGAACAGGAUUAGAUACCCUGGUAGUCCACGCCGUAAACGGUGGGUACUAGGUGUGGGUUUCCUUCCUUGGGAUCCGUGCCGUAGCUAACGCAUUAAGUACCCCGCCUGGGGAGUACGG
rnacentral:rRNA from 1 species